UUAUGUGCAUUGGCAUCUGCAGCUUUCACGUUUGAAAAUCAGGACACGAAAGCCACAUUCAUUGCUGAAGCUUGUUUCCUGUGGAAAGUGUCUCUCAACUAAGUCUCCGAGAUGAUACAAAGAACAGAAUUUUGGAUGGCUUGGAAGGAUAGAUCGUGCCACCUCAUUUGCAUUAUUAAUGUGUAGAGAGGUUCCUACUGUUUACUAGGUUUGGUCUUUGGUGAGGAGAUUCGAUCAACCACAGAAAUACAAGCCAUUUAUCAGUAGGUGCAUCAAGAUAAUUGGAGGGGAUCACAGACUUAGGAUUUGAAGCUAUGGAGGAAGAACCAUAUGGGACCCCAGAACAGGAUCAGGAUGCCACAAUGCCGUCUCGGGCGUCCCCAACACCGAGAUCGAGACCCUCUUCCAGAACACAAACUUCAUGUGCAAGUAGUCGAUUCCCAAUGCCGGUAAAUAUAGAAGAUGAAGAUACAUUUAAUGAGGAGGCUGAGAUGGGUAUUGGGGAUGAGCCGGAUGUACCACCUCCAUCCGCGAGUGCCAAGCCACCACGUCCACGAUCAAAUAAAAAAAGAUCGUGGACGUGGGAACAUUUCACCAAGGUUGACGGUGAUCCCUCGGAACCGCACGCGGCGUGCAACCAUUGUGGCCAAGAAGUUGGAUGUCAUUCAAAGAAACAAGGCACUACUGGAUUGAUAUCACAUCUAAAUGG